UCUGACCCGGCCCGGCCCGUUUCCCGCUUGCCCGCUUGCCCGCCCGACAUCGUCUUGCCGACCCCUUCGCAAGCCCGCUGCUUUCUUCGUCUCUCUCAACCUUUCUCGCAUUCGCUGUGUGUUUGUUUGUGUGCGUGUGUGUGUGUCUCUUCAUCAUCGUGUUGAAGCUCGUAAUCGUGCGGGCUGUUGCGUUAAUCCGCUUCCUUGUGCUCCUCUCCCAACUCGUGCCGCUCAUCCGGUGCACCUCAUGUUUGGUGAAGAAGGGGCGGCCGCCGCGCCCGUCCCGGUCCUCGUUCCCACUCGCUUCGUGUGGCCGCACGGCGGUCGUCGUGUCUACCUGUGCGGCGAUUUCACACGAUGGCAGGAUACAUUACCUUUGUCUCCCGUGGAAGGGUCUUCCCGUGUUUUUCAAGUGAUAUGCAGCUUGGCACCAGGUUAUCACACGUAUAAGUUCAUCGUGGAUGGAGAAUGGAGACAUGAUGAGCAGCAGGCACACAUGGCGGAGUCCAACGGUCAAGUCAAUAAUUGGCUUCUGAUCACCAAGCCGCAACACCCUAUCCUCCCUCCCGCUCCUGACAUGGGUACUCCGGGUGUUACCAUGGAUGUUGACCAUGACAUGCUUCAUCAACCUGGGUCAGGAGCUGAAGAUCUUCCUCAGAUUCAUGGUGAUGUGCAACAAGAUCAUCAGCAAGUAGAUAGAGCUGUUAUGGCAGAAUCUGGGGCCACAGUUGUGUCCUCUGCUGAAGCAGAAGCCUCAAGGAAAAACAUAGCCGAUUUUUUAAACCGACAUUUCGCUUAUGACUUACUGCCUGAAUCUGGCAAGGUUGUGGCUCUGGAUGUGGCGUUGCCAGUGAAACAAGCUUUUCAUGCGCUCUAUGAACAGGGUAUUCCUGGAGCUCCAUUAUGGGACUCUUCAUCGCAGCAGUUCGUUGGAAUGCUUACAGCGUCGGACUUCAUUUCAAUAUUACAGCGUCUUGGAAGCCAUGGUGCUUCAGUGUUUUCUGAGGAAGAGUUGGAAAUGCACACAAUUGAAGAAUGGAAAAAGGAGAAGCAAGCACUUUUCCCGUCUGCAUCCCAUUCGCUUGUAUAUGUGGGACCAGAUGAUACCCUUUCACAUGUGGCCAAUGAACUCAUGCGACUUGACGUCGCGCAGCUGCCCGUCUUGCACUAUCCACCUCAUUCGCACAUCCCAGAGUUGUUACAUUUAGCUUGCCUAUCUGGCAUUCUAAGAUGUCUCUGUAGACAUUUCCGGCAUGUUCCUUCAUCUGUCCCUCUCUUUUCUCAACCCAUUGGAACCUUGCGUAUUGGGAAUUGGGUUUCAGGCAUAGCUGAACCUGGUAGCCGACCUCUGCAAGUAUUGCGGCGAGAUGAAUCCCUCAGUCGUGCACUUGCUUUGCUGCUUGAAGCUCGGGUAAGUGCACUUCCUGUUGUGGACGAAAACGGUGUGUUUCAAGACGUUUAUGCCCGGGGGGACAUCACAGCUCUUGCGAGGGAUAGCACGUAUACUCGUCCUCAGCUAAAUGACUUGACUGUCAGUCAGGCAUUGCAGAUAGGGGCUGCGCAAGACUGGACAGGACCUGGCCCUCUCAGUGGCAAUCGUUACCACAUGUGCAUUCGAUCGGACUCGUUACGCUACGUUAUAGAACGUCUGGCUCUUCCAGGAGUUCGGAGAUUAAUAUGCAUUGAAGCUGGAAGCAGACAAGUGGAAGGAAUAAUUACACUGCGAGAUGUUUUUCAGUUCUUGCUAUAAGCUGUACGCUGGGUUAAAUGUCCAGCGUAAUUACGUCUGAUUUUCCUGUUUGAACUGCGCUUCCUUUUUGGAGUAACUAUAAAUGCGAGGAAAUGACUCAAACCGACUCAAUCAAGGCUCUUCAACUCAAAUGAUCCCAGACUGGGUUGAAUUCUAAAUGGUACCCAGGCAAUUAUGUAUUCGAAGCGACAACCAAGGCAACAAUUACACAGUAUAUUGACGUACCUUCUAUUUGCAUCCAUGUAACCCUAACUUGGUUGAUUAUUCUCAAAUAUCUCCACUCAACCUGGAAUCAAAGUUCAGUUUUCUAGCAUUGAUUCGA